GCCAAGGCAAUCACUGGAAGGCACACUGCCCCAGAGAACAAAGGCCCUCUGGGCCAGAAGUGCCCAACCAGAUGAUUCAGCAACAGGACCGAGGGUGCCCGGGGCAAGCGCCAACUCAUGCCAUCACCCUCACAGAUCCCUGGGUUCCAGGCCAUCAAGCUACAAAUGGUCUUACAAAUGGAACCUCAAGUGAGCUCAACUCACGGCUUCUAUCGAGGACUCCUGGAUCAACCUGCUGGUCCCUCGACUAGCCAAAAAAUUCCCCUCUGGAGGACACCACAACUGCAGGGCCCCUUCUUUGCCCCUAAUCAGCAAAAAGUAGCCAGAAUGACCGCUGCCCAGUUCCCAACAGCAGUUGGGGUGUCCUGUCUAGAGCGAGGACUGAGAGGAGGGACCAGCCGGGCUUCCUGGGUCCUGCAGGGGCUCAGAAAGUUGUGAAACUCAUUCAUUUCCUGCAUCAGGACUUCCUUCUGUCCUGGAUGAAUAAUAUUGAAAACAUAUGCUUAAAAUAUUCCUAACACCAGGAUUUGUACAUGUGUUUUCUUCCCCCAAGAAAGCUAUAAACAGUGAAAAUUUUGCUAUAAGCUUCCCUGUGUCCUCUCUCCCUGUCUCCCUUCCCUCUCCCCUGAAACUAAAAGGAAUGUUAACUGACCAUUUCUCUGUGACCAGUGGACCUCAUCUAUGCUCCCAAUUCCAAUUCCUUGUAAACAUACUUUGUAAAGUCCUGUAAAUUCCCGUCUCCUUUGUCAUGCCACUGCAAGGUCAUAAAGUAGAUAAAACCUAAGUUACAAUUCCGAUAUUCCUCAAAAUCUAAGACAUGUCACAAAAUAAUUUACUGCCUUUGUUUCUUGCUCUGGUAACAUCUUCCCUCUGCACGUAUUUCCUGCCUUAAAGAGUUUAAAAGGCAACUGCAUAAUCUAACUCUGGCUACCCGCUGGGGACCCCUUCCAUGCUGUGGAAGCUUUGUACUGUCACUCUGCUCAAUAAAGCCUGCAG
rnacentral:lncRNA from 1 species